GGCAUUGUGGCAGAGUGGAGAAAGCAUCAGAUUUGGAGACAAAGAACCUGGGUUUGAAUCCCAGCUUUGCCA
rnacentral:tRNA from 1 species